rnacentral:rRNA from 1 species
GAUGAACGCUGGCGGCGUGCCUAAUACAUGCAAGUCGAGCGAACAGACGAGGAGCUUGCUCCUCUGACGUUAGCGGCGGACGGGUGAGUAACACGUGGAUAACCUACCUAUAAGACUGGGAUAACUUCGGGAAACCGGAGCUAAUACCGGAUAAUAUAUUGAACCGCAUGGUUCAAUAGUGAAAGACGGUUUUGCUGUCACUUAUAGAUGGAUCCGCGCCGCAUUAGCUAGUUGGUAAGGUAACGGCUUACCAAGGCGACGAUGCGUAGCCGACCUGAGAGGGUGAUCGGCCACACUGGAACUGAGACACGGUCCAGACUCCUACGGGAGGCAGCAGUAGGGAAUCUUCCGCAAUGGGCGAAAGCCUGACGGAGCAACGCCGCGUGAGUGAUGAAGGUCUUCGGAUCGUAAAACUCUGUUAUUAGGGAAGAACAAAUGUGUAAGUCACUAUGCACGUCUUGACGGUACCUAAUCAGAAAGCCACGGCUAACUACGUG